AUCAAACUGACGAGUCCCAAAUAGGACGAAAUGCACGACUUGGAU
rnacentral:hammerhead_ribozyme from 1 species